rnacentral:rRNA from 1 species
CCUUGUCUCUAUACACCUGUUGCUUUGGCGGGCCCACCGGGGCCACCCGGUCGCCGGGGGACGUCGUCCCCGGGCCCGCGCCCGCCGAAGCGCCCUGUGAACCCUGAUGAAGAUGGGCUGUCUGAGUACUAUGAAAAUUGUCAAAACUUCCAACAAUGGAUCUCUUGGUUCCGGCAUCGAUGAAGAACGCAGCGAAAUGCGAUAAGUAAUGUGAAUUGCAGAAUUCCGUGAAUCAUCGAAUCUUUGAACGCACAUUGCGCCCCCUGGCAUUCCGGGGGGCAUGCCUGUCCGAGCGUCAUUUCUGCCCUCAAGCACGGCUUGUGUGUUGGGUGUGGUCCCCCCGGGGACCUGCCCGAAAGGCAGCGGCGACGUCCGUCUGGUCCUCGAGCGUAUGGGGCUUUGUCACUCGCUCGGGAAGGACCUGCGGGGGUUGGUAACCACCACAUUCUACCACGGUUGACCUCGGAUCAGGUAGGAGUUACCCGCUGAACUUAAGCAUAUCAAUAAGCGGAGGA